rnacentral:rRNA from 1 species
UACGAAGGGGGCUAGCGUUGCUCGGAAUCACUGGGCGUAAAGGGCGCGUAGGCGGCCGAUUAAGUCGGGGGUGAAAGCCUGUGGCUCAACCACAGAAUUGCCUUCGAUACUGGUUGGCUUGAGACCGGAAGAGGACAGCGGAACUGCGAGUGUAGAGGUGAAAUUCGUAGAUAUUCGCAAGAACACCAGUGGCGAAGGCGGCUCACUGGUCCGGAACUGACGCUGAGGCACGACAGCGUGGGGAGCAAACAGG